GAUGAACGCUGGCGGCGUGCUUAAUACAUGCAAGUCGAGCGAACAGACGAGGAGCUUGCGGCGCUGACGUUAGCGGCGGACGGGUGAGUAACACGUGGAUAACCUACCUAUAAGACUGGGAUAACUUCGGGAAACCGGAGCUAAUACCGGAGAAUAUAUUGAACCACAUGGUGCAAUAGUGAAAGACGGUGGUGGUGUCACUUAUAGAUGGAUCUGCGCCGCAUUGGCUAGUUGGUAAGGUAACGGCUUACCAAGGCAACGAUGCGUAUCCGACCUGAUAGGGUGAUCGGCCGCCCUGGAACUGAGACACGCCCCAGACUCCUACGGGAGGCAGCAGUAGGGCAUCUUCCGCAAUGGGCGAAAGCCUGACGGAGCAACGCCGCGUGAGUGAUGAAGGUCUUCGGAUCGUAAAACUCUGUUAUUAGGGAAGAACAAAUGUGUAAGUAACUAUGCACGUCUUGACGGUACCUAAUCAGAAAGCCACGGCUAACUACGUG
rnacentral:rRNA from 1 species